rnacentral:rRNA from 1 species
AGUGAACGCUGGCGGUAGGCCUAACACAUGCCAGUCGAACGGCAGCACAGUAAGAGCUUGCUCUUACGGGUGGCGAGUGGCGGACGGGUGAGGAAUACAUCGGAAUCUACUUUUUCGUGGGGGAUAACGUAGGGAAACUUACGCUAAUACCGCAUACGACCUACGGGUGAAAGCAGGGGAUCUUCGGACCUUGCGCGAUUGAAUGAGCCGAUGUCGGAUUAGCUAGUUGGCGGGGUAAAGGCCCACCAAGGCGACGAUCCGUAGCUGGUCUGAGAGGAUGAUCAGCCACGCUGGAACUGAGACACGGUCCAGACUCCUACGGGAGGCCGCAGUGGGGAAUAUUGGACAAUGGGCGCAAGCCUGAUCCAGCCAUACCGCGUGGGUGAAGAAGGCCUUCGGGUUGUAAAGCCCUUUUGUUGGGAAAGAAAAGCAGCAGGUUAAUACCCCGCUGUUCUGACGGUACCCAAAGAAUAAGCACCGGCUAACUUCGUG